GGAUAGAAACGUAGGAUAUUAUUUUUCACAAAUCACAACUACAACAUUAUCGUAUCUAUGUAAAUAGACCAGUUUAACACCCCCAAGGUUUGAUACAAAAGUAAAGCUAUUCGAUUACCCACUAACUAAGCUUCUAUUUAUAAAACUGGGGUUUACUAUUACAAUACCAUACUUCUCAAUAUCUCGGGGGUGAGCUGUCACCCUACAUCCAGUCUUGACGGAAAACCCGUCAUCACUUGGAAUGAGAUAGCGAGAAUCCUAUUCCUCUUUUACUGCGACUGACUGUACACGAUCCAGCCUUCCUCCAUUUAGGGACCUGAAAAUGUUAGCCCACUAAGGGGUGAGAUCACAUCUCAGCGAGUAAAUCCCCUAAUUCUAGAUUAGGAGAAGGGUACAUCCUACAUGCAAUCUAAUCACGUUUCUCAUAUUUUCUUAAUACUAGUGCUUUCCUGCCUAUUAGUGUAAAUCAAAUCAUGCAUAAAAUAUCGAAAUCAUAUAUCAUCGGAAUAUUUUUAACAUAUACAGAUGUAAGGACAUAAAUGUCACAUAAUUGCACGGGCCCCAAUUACCAGACUAAUCCAUUGUAGUACGUCCCAUACCGCACCACACAGUUCCGUCUUUUAAUUAGGUCCCUCACUUUCACCCAUUCAUGUGUCACAAAUUGAUUUCAAUGCACAGAUAACAGUCUUCCGGCAUCACCGAGCAUCGCCUCACACCAUCGAGCGCGGCAUCGUCUACAUCUAGACGGCAUUCCAUAUAGGAGCAUCGGUCCAGCCUCCACUGCGACCGGCAUCCGUUGACGUGGGGCAUUCCCGAAGGAGCAUCGUCUGGCCCAACGGCACGUGACGGAAUCAUGUCGUGAAUGCAUAUGAUUGAUGUCACAUUUCAAUAAUCAAUUAUAUACAGCAUCCACAGCAUCAAUUGAGCAAUUUCGUAACAAGAAUACUUCAAAACAACCAUACAUUCUUACUAGCCCAAAUUCACAAAAAACUGUCCAAUUACGUUCUCCCAAAUUCGAAGUAAGAAACCAACUCAUAUGAGCUCGAAAAAUUCUCAAAUUUGGACACGUGUUAGAAAACACACAAAAAAACAUUUUUCAUGAAAACACCGAGAUCCAAAUCUCUCUGGAUUCGGCCCAGAAAUUCUUUCUAUCCAGCACAAAAAUCGGAUCCAGUUCCAGAGAGCCAAACCCAUCGAAAUCAGUUCGUUUUUUGGGUCGAAACAUGCUUCGUUUGACUUGAAAUUAAGUAUGUUAAACUAAAAUUUAUAAAAAACAACUUUCGUGAAGGAACCAAUUGGAAAUUCGACCUCUAAAGGUCAUUAACAGCCCUCGGAAUCAUAAUAGGUCACGGAUUACAAAACUGUCCGAUUACUGUUCCGAGGAUGACGUCAUUAAAAUCGUCAUCUUUUUAAUUUCUAAAAAUUAAGAGAAAAAUAUAUGUUAUUAUUUAAGAUGUUCACAACGUUUCUUCAGAACAAAAUUCUUUCAAAAUCACAACACAAAGUUGUCUACAAAAUUAGCAAAACAUACACGUUCUAGAAACUGUUUCAAUAAUCAACUACUGUUCUAGUCCGAAUCUUCCACCACGACUUUUGUUUUGCUCUCUAAGCCUUAUCUAAGCUUUUCUAUGUCUAUCAUAAUGUCCCUAACCAACAUCUAUCCAUAUAUAACGCCAUCUACAUAUUUUUAACUUGUACAAAUUCCUAGUAGAGGUACUCAACCCAUAGUCCAGAUUUAGGAGACAACUCACCUAAUCACAGCUAACGGCGGCUCUCGUUGGUGCUUGAACAGCAACACAGAGAUCAGCCUUGAUCCUCUUGGUGAUGAUGUUGAGCCGAAACCGCAGAAGAUUGUGAUGUGGUAUGAUGGCAACGGCAACACACAAACUUAUAAAUUUUUCGGUAGAGGAAACUAAGUAUGGAGUUUGGUCGGUUGUGCGGUUCUUGUGCGGGUGAGGGGGGUUUUUCCUCACUGAAACUAUACGACUUAUAUUUAAAAACCAUGGUGGUAGGUGGUUGUCGUUUAUGUGGGUCCAAGAAUUUUUGAUAACGUCACGUUCACGUCUUGGUUUGUUUUGUUUCUUAGUCUCCGGUUUGUCGUUCAAGAGGGAGCAAAAAUGGAAGUAGCACGUUCAAGGGGAAAGAAAACAAUGGCUUGUACGUUGAAAAAGACAAGGAAGAAG
rnacentral:lncRNA from 1 species